AAGUUGAUUGUAUGUCAGUUUUUCAUUUGGCGUGGCUAGCUCACUACUUUUUUAAUAUUGCUAGCUGCCUUGUGAAGGGCUUACGUGUAAUUGCAGUUCAACU
rnacentral:pre_miRNA from 1 species